GACGAACGCUGGCGGCGUGCCUAAUACAUGCAAGUAGAACGCACAGUUUAUACCGUAGCUUGCUACACCAUAGACUGUGAGUUGCGAACGGGUGAGUAACGCGUAGGUAACCUGCCUGGUAGCGGGGGAUAACUAUUGGAAACGAUAGCUAAUACCGCAUAAUAUUAAUUAUUGCAUGAUAAUUAAUUGAAAGGUGCAAUUGCACCACUACCAGAUGGACCUGCGUUGUAUUAGCUAGUAGGUGAGGUAACGGCUCACCUAGGCGACGAUAUAUAGCCGACCUGAGAGGGUGAUCGGCCAAACUGGGACUGAGGCACGGCCCAGACUCCUACGGGAGGCAGCAGUAGGGAAUCUUCGGCAAUAGACGAAAGUCUGACCGAGCAACGCCGCGUGAGUGAAGAAGGUUUUCGGGUCGUAAAACUCUGUUGUAAGGGAAGAAAGGGUGUGAGAGUGGAAAGUGCACACUGUGACGGUAUCUUACCAGAAAGGGACGGCUAACUACGUG
rnacentral:rRNA from 1 species